GAUGAAGAACGCAGCGAAAUGCGAUACGUAAUGUGAAUUGCAAAUUCAGUGAAUCAUCGAGUCUUUGAACGCACAUUGCGCCCCUCGGUAUUCCGUGGGGCAUGCCUGUUCGAGCGUCAUCUACACCCUCAAGCUCUGCUUGGUGUUGGGCGUCUGUCCCGCCUCUGCGCGCGGACUCGCCCCAAAUUCAUUGGCAGCGGUCUUUGCCUCCUCUCGCGCAGCACAAUUGCGUCUGCGAGGGGGCAUGGCCCGCAUCCACGAAGCAACAUUACCGUCUUUGACCUCGGAUCAGGUAGGGAUACCCGCUGAACUUAAGCAUAUCAAUAAGCGGAGGA
rnacentral:misc_RNA from 1 species